AUUGUAGGGGUAAACAAAUUAGAUUAAUCAAGAAGUCUCUAUUUUGUAUAGUUACUUGACAAUGUAAACAUGCGGAAUUUACUGUCAAAGUCUUAGCAGGCGUAGAAACAAUCAAAUCAAAAGGUAGAGGCGACACAUAUAACUUCAAACGAUUCACACAAUCCAUAGCAAUGAAGGAAUGGGUUGCCUCCGAAUCAAA
rnacentral:lncRNA from 1 species